CGAAGGAGGAUCUGGGAAGCUCCAGUCGGGCUCCUCUCAAUCCUUGGAGCACAUCACCCAGCAGAACAGCUCCGAGGGGGUGAAGGACAAGAAAUCACGGGAGCAGCGGGAAUGGGUGCACCCUCGGCCGGGAAUGUAGAGCCGGCUGGGAGAGCUCCGGGUGCUGCUGCCAUCCAGAGGAACCUUCCUGGCCUGGAGAAACGGGUUGGCUGGAACCUCGGAAGGAUCGACAAGGAGGAAAGUCCUGCCCUUGGGGAGGAACAACCCCGGGCACCAGGAUGUGCCAUGAGGACAUGCCAGAGCUGGAAGACCCAGGAGAGCAUGGAGUGGUGGAGUAGGAGUGUGGAAUUCCCUGGGAAGUGUGGAGUGUGUCCAUCCAGGAACAGAGCCCGCUUAGGGAAGAUCAGGAGAGGGAUGCUGAGCACGGCCAUGGCUUCCCAACAUCUCCAUCACCAUCACCACCUCUGGGAGCCCAGGAAUGGGAUCUGGGAGGGGAAUGAGUCCAGGGAAGCGCUGAUGAGCUGCCGGCACUUUUCCUGGGCGUCUUCCAGUGGAUUGCAUGGCUGGA